UCUGUUUCUACUUAGAAUAUGAGCAGGAAAAAAAAAAAAGCCCAGCUAGAAAAUGAGAAAAAUAAGAAAGGGAUGAUCUACAAAAUCAAACUUCUCUUGAGCCCAUCAGAGAGCUGGGGUUGCCAGGAGGCCGAGCAGCUGAGGACCAGGGAGGUACUGCUGCGCCUCGGCAGCGCCCGGGAGGGACAGGUGGCCUCCGCUGUGAUCAGGUAGGACACGGCUCGCAGUCUUAGGGCCAGGUGUGGGUGGGUGCCACCUACAGCAUUGCUGUGAGCCCCUCACGCCCAGGGUACUCAGGAGACGGUGGGAGACACACAGGAGCAGGGCCCAGGAGGACCCCCUCCCUGAGACGGGGUCUUGAAAGGCCCCACCUCCCAGGUCAUUCGCUCAUCUGGACCAAGCGCCCCAGGGUGGGAAAGCCACUGGCCCAUGGGCCCAGAGGACCCUGGACAGCUGCCUCUGGGCAGGGGAGGAACCCCAUCAUGGCGCCUGCUGAGACACUUCUCAGGGAGGUCUCAGAGGUGCCCUGGGGUCAGCCACUCCUUGGAGGAGCCUGUGUCCUUGCUCUCAAACACCAGGUCACACAAAGCCAGUCCCAGGAACCCUCAGGAGACCUUCAGCACCAAAGGAAGCAGGGAUUUCAGAUCACAGGAGAGGCUGGGUUGGGAAGGAGAGGCCAGCGCCCCAGGUCAGCAGGAGCCGGGCUGCCGUGCUCCCGGGCCUCCCUUGUCGAGUGCUGGAUGAACCCCUCUCUGUGUCCUCGGCAGCCGUCGUCUGAGGGGGUCUUGCUCUCCCUCAUGUGGAGGCUGCGGAGGAGCUAGACAGACCCCGCCCGUGCCCAGGGAGGAGCAGGCGAGGGAGGAGUCGGUUCUGUGCAUCUCAGUCUAGAUCUAGAUUUCUUUUUUCAAAUCUGAUACUUGGCAGAACACAAGGACAGCCCGGAACUGGGCCACCCUCCAGGGGAGGCGGUCUUGGCGCUCUCCUGUGGCAUCCCUGUCUGGGAGCACCGUCUCCUUCCCAGCUCCGGCGUCUCCCUUCCCUUUCCUAGUUCAUGCUCGGUUCCUCGCCCCCACCCUGCACGUGGGGCCAGGAGGCUGGGGUACCCCUGAAGUGGAGGUGGCAGGGUCACCUUGGAGACCCAGCCCCUGGCUGAGCGGGGGCUGGAAGGGAGGAGACACAAGGCCUGGGAAGUAGAGAGGGUGUGCACUGAGGGCCUUUGCGACGUCCUCAUCGUCUGCUGGUGAUGGUCACCUCGGGGCUCUGGUGAUGCAAGUUCUGGACCCUCCAACUCGCUGUGUGACCUUGUGCAAGUGCCCAGACCUUGCAGCCUCAGUUACCCCAUUUGAACAAUGAAAGAAUCAAUGAAGGAAUUUGGUGGUUCUCAGUCCUGGCUGUGGUCAUUCCCUCUCCCAGGCAAGAUGGGGUGACAGGGAUUGGAUUCACCCUUCCUCCUGAAUCCAUGGAAGAUUGGUCAUCCUCUCCCCUCGGUGCCUGCUGGGGAUCAGUUGCAGGGAUCCCAAAAUCAGUUCCCUUCCCCCCAUACCCAAAUCUGUGUUGGCUCAAACCCCACAUAAAAUGGUGUAGUAUGUGCUAUAAUCUCUGCACAUCUUCCUGUGAGCUUUAAAUCAUCUGUAGAUUACUUAUAACACCUAACAUAAUGCAAGAAUGUGUGAAUUAUAGUAUUAUUUUGUAUUGUUUGGUGAAUAACCAAAGGAAAGAUUCUGUGCAUGUUCGGUAUAGAUGCAAUUAAAAAAGACAUUAUUGAUAUGGUUGAAUCCUGGCAGCUCCCAGCUAAAGAGGGCUGAGUGCGGAUGAAAUGGUGCUUUCCUAGACACAGGCCAUCAGGCCCUGAAGGAGACGAGAAACAAACGACAUUACCCUGAUUACAGCCCAGAGAGAGUUUCCAGGCCAUGGGGCAGGAGGGUCAAGCCCAGGGAAGCCUGGGAGUGGGGGGGUUAGAGCUGCGGUUUCAGGAGAGCAGGGUGCAGCGGGGGUCCACGGCACACAGAGGCCGAGAGGAGACCGCAGCUCAGGGCGAAGAUGCUGCAGAGUCCCCAGGAGGGAACCGCUCGGCUGUCACCUGUAAAAAUCUUAAAAGCAAGACCCCAAAGGAUCCUAUUGCUCCCAAGUAACUUGACGGUGCUCUGGAAUAAAGUUUAGAAGACGUCUGGCAAAAUAAAACUACCCAGCACCCGACAAGAUAAAAGUCACAGUGUCAGGCGGAGAAAGCUGAGAUGCUACAGCAGGGCCACUCAAAGUCGCUUUCCGAAUAAAUAAUGUCACAAAGAGGGCCGGGGUGUCAACACAUCCAGAGGACGUUCCAUCCUGAAUGUUUAUAGACCUGGUAACAGCUCUCCACAAUACACAGAGCAGGGACAGAAAUAGGAAAGCCACAGAGAUUUCAACACCCCUCGCUCAGAAGAUGACAGAACAAGGAAACAUGAAGUCACCAAGGCGAUAGGGGACUUGAUCAACCCUAUCAACCAACUUGACCUAAUUGACAUUUACAGAACACCCCACCCUGCUAUGACAGAGCUGCCUUCUUCUUAAGUACAUUUCGAAAUAUGUCGAGAUAGACCAGAUUCUGGGUCCUGAGACAAAUCUCAAUAAAUUUAAAGGAGACAAGUUGCUGAAAGUAUGUUCUGUGACCAGAGCAGAAUUAAAUUAGAAAUGAAUAACAGAGAGAUCUCCGAAAAGUCUCCAAAUAUUUUGAAACCAAAUGGCACACUUCUAAAUUGCCCAUGUGUUAAAGAAUAAAUCAAAAGAGGAACUAGAAAGUGUUUUUCACUGAAACAAAAGUGAACGUACAACACAUCAGAAUUAGAGUGCUGCUGCUAUAGCAGUACUUAGGGGAAAUUCUAAAACUAAAUGCCUACGUUAGAAAAGAAGAAAUGUCUCAAGUCAAUGACCUCAGUUGUCACUUAAGACACUGGAAACAAGAGCAAAUUAAAUCCAAUGUAGGUAGCAGCAAAGAAAAAAGCGUUAAAUAUAAAUCAGUGGAGAAAUGCAACAGAGAAAAUGAAUAAAACCAAAGCUGGUUCUUUAAUAUCAAUAAAAUGAGCCGGCACCGUGGCGCACGCCUGUAAUCCCAGCAGCCUGGGAGGCUGAGGCAAGAGGAUCGUGAGUUCAAAGCCAGCCUCAGCAAAAGCGAGGUGCUAAGCAACUCCGUGAGACCCUGUCUCUAAAUAAAAUAAAAGAAUAGGUCUGAGGAUGUGGCUCUGUGGUUGAGUGCCCCUGAGUUCAAUCUCCAGUACCCACCCCAAUCAAUAAAAUUGAUAAGCCCCUAAGCCACACUGACUGGGGGAAAUAAAGGAGAGAAGACACAACUAAUGAGUAUCCAGAAGGAGAGUCGUGACCUUGCAGAUUCUAUAUCUGUUAUUUGGAAUUUUUCUACAAAGAAUAUAGGUCUUUUUCCAUCUAUCUAUUUUACCUAUAUAUCUAUCAUCUAUUGGAUUAUUUCAGCAUUGGAUUCUUACUUUAUACUUUGGGUAAUAAUCCAAUUCUACUUCAAUGACUUCUUUGCUCAAAUAUCUUCAGCUUUGACUGCUGAGUAUUGCGGGGUGUCCAGCAGCUCGCCAGGGAAUUCUUGCCUGCUCCGAGGGAUAAGCCUCCUGGGAAAUUAAAAUCUUGGAUAAUUAGUGAGGAACAAAAGACCAAGAAUCAGAAAGGAGAGUUUUAAAGAUGGAGCCCUGACAGGUCCAGUCCACACAGGAUCUGGAGCUAGACAAUUAGCUCCGGUGGUGUAUUUAAGGGGGUACAUCAAAGGCAGGGGUAAGGUUUCAAGGGUGGAGUCUUGCUUUGUGACAUCUUGCAGUCAGCAGGUUGAUCGGCAUCUUGGCAGGUCACACCCAUCUCAGAGGGACUGUGCGGUGGGGUGGUUGGAGCAGGUCACCCCAUCUCUGGUGCUGUGUGGGACCAGGCAGAGCGGAAUAGGGUUCACGAUGUCUCUGGGCAGUCAAGCAGAGGAAAUGUCCACUGGAAGUUCCCAGACACCAGACUGUCCUCUUCACUAGGUCGUGAUGUGCAGUCAAGUCCACACAUAACCCACAGACGGCUCUCAACCGUUGAGAGUUCCUUUAGUUGAUACCCAGGUCCCUUUGGUAUUCUUCCAACCUUGUAGGGUCUUUGUGUGUGUGUGCGUCAUUGUUUUCUGGCACUAAAAAAUAUGCCAGGCCCCUCUGGUGUACUUUUGGCCCUAUCUUAGAGUCAGCCAUUUUUUUUAUUGGAGAAUGGUUUUAGAGACCAAGAUGGCGGUACCCAUGUGCUCAUCACAGUUGGGUAUCCUUGUUUCUAGGCCGUCCCAGUUUGCAGAAUAAGGAGACAGACCCUAAGCUGUGCAUUCACACAUCUGUAGAAGUAUUUCUGUAUGUAAAAGUCUGUGUCUUUAGUUGGACUAAUGUGACUUCACACGGAUGUCUCCAUCUCUGAUCUAUUACAUGGUUCGUUCUAGCUGUCUCCUCUUAUUUGUCUGUGACUUUCUCCUGCAGCAGUGAGAGUCCUGACCUGCACCACCUGCCAUUCAUGUACUUAAUUGUUAUUCCCGGUGUCGGGGACAGUAGAGUGAUUUCAGAACUGUGAACUCGUCCCCCAUAGCAACAGCCUUGUCAAGCAGAGCCCAGGGCUAGGUGCAGUCCUUUGGGCAAUUAGUCCUGUGGGCUCCACCUGGAGUCCGAGCUACAUGGACCAGCCCCUUUUAUCUUCCCUCCUGAAGUGAAGUCAUUCCACACAUUUGUCAUGCUGUUAAAUUCUUUUGUCACAGCUUACAUUCCAUCCUGAGGUCUCCCGACGUCCUAGAUGAUUGUUUAAAAAAAUCUGUAUACAUUCGGGUUCACUUUUCUGCCGUCAGAUUCUAUGGAUUUUGACAAAGGCACAUAUCAGUUAUGACAUUGUACAUAAUCGUCUUGAAAACCUCCUGGACGUCUCCUCUUUAACCCUUCCCACCCACCAAACCCCCAGCAUCCACUGAUCUGCUUACUAUGGCUGAUUUGCCUUUUCCCAGAAUGUCAUCUAAAUGUAACCUCUGCAGAUGGGCCUCGCUCCCGUGGCAACUGGGAGAUUUGUCCCCGUCAUUGUGUGACUCGACCGCUGGCUCCUUCUAAGUGCCAUUCCAGUGUGUGGGUGUCCCGCCUGCAUCCACGCACCUAUGGAAGGACCGCUCGGUGGCCUGCUGCUCUUAGGAACCAUGAGUGGGCUGCUGAAAGCCUUCAGGUGCGGGCUCUGGUGUGUUCGUAAGUUUUCAUAUCAGUUGGGUAAACACCUGGGAGUGUAAUCGCUGCAUCUCAUGGUAAGAUCCUUCUGCUUCGUGAGAAACCGCCAACUGUCUCUCAACGUGGCUGUGCGAUCUCGUCUUCACACCACCAAGGAACGAGAGUUUCUGUUGAUCCACAUUCUCUCCAGGAGUGUGUAUUGCCUGGGAUGGGACUUAAAAAAAAAAAUCUAGAUACCUCGGCCCUGUUCCCGGGGAUUCUGCCUCCAUCAGCCUGUGGUGACCUAGGGGACCGUCAGGCGACCCUGGCGUGCGCAGCAGCCGUGCUCUCCCGUCCUGGGAGACACAGUCCUUUGGGGCUACCUGCUCGUCCUGGCCCAGGCUCCCCCUCGCUCCCCUCCCUCUCUGGGGUGAGUGGGGGCUCCGUGCUCUCCAGCUCCCUUGCCCCUUCCUCUCCCACUUACCAACAGCCCCACUCCACAGCCCUCUGGGACGAGGGCCAGGCGCACUCUGCAGAGCCAGUCUUCAGGAGAGGAGCAGGAAGUGACAGGCGCAGCCCUGCCGCUCGGCCUCCUCAGGCCCCUUGACUGAUGGUGGGGACCGUGUUGCUGGAUCAUAAGUCCAUUCCUCACCCCACCGCCCCGUGUGCUGGGCUUUGUCCUCCUUUGUCUCCAGGUGGCCUGUCCUGAGGUCCCUGGGGGAUUCCCUCCAUUGGGAUAAGCUCCUCCAUCCUUCACCAGGAUGGCUGCAUCGGGGCCUCCUCACCCCACUCUGCCCCAGUGCAAUGGCUGCCCCUCCUCAGGGGGCUGCUCCCUCUCCCUACAGGGGUCCUGGUGAAGGUCAUCUGAGGGGUCUCCCAAGGCAGAUUUGGGGGCAGUGGGUGGAUGCCCUGAGAAGGAGAGAUGUGUCCAGAGUUGGGGUGGACAGGCCGCCCUGGGGAGAGGUGGUGAGCUCCCCAUCCCUGAGGUGUGCACAGAGGGCAAGUGAUCGUCAGCAGAGGCCUCACAGGAGGCAGAGAGGCUGAGAGUGUGGCCUCAGAGGCUGAGUGGUCUGGGCAGAGCCUGGCCACGCGACUCACCAGGCGUCCGACCCCCAGCAGCGGAUCCACCCUCCCUGAGCCUCGGUUUCUUCAUCUGGAAAAUCAGGCAGAGAGGUAGUUCCUGCUCCGAAGGUUGCCAUGGAGACAGCAGGACACAGGGUGUUCGAAGCUCUGAGCACAGAGCACUUAUUAUCCAGCCCAGGGGGAGGGGACAGGGUGACAGCGCUGAGGGGUGGCGAUUCAACCUGGCUGUCGUUUAAACACCGAGGCUCUGGGACCCCGCGAUUCAAUUACCCUACAAUGAGAUUCCCUGAGACCCUAAGGCUGUAAGUCAUCGUUAUUGUUAUUCUUCUCAUCUGAGGCUCCUCGGAAGCCCAAGCUGUGGGAUUUCAAGAUUCACAUUCUGUAGCCAUCCCUCCAGCAAGGAAGUUCCCAGCCAUGAACUGCAGGGGACCUUCAUCCUUGUCCCUCUUUCCACUUCUGAUCUUCCAUCUUUGACCCCGGGGCCCAGGCUACGUCCCCAGGGCCCCUUUUCUAAUCCCAGCCUCAUGCAUGGCACCCCUUGCUCUGAGGCCACCGGGCCCCGGUGACUUCACUGAAGUGGGCUCCGCACACUCUCAGCAUCCCGUCCUCUCUGCUGGACCCCGACAUCACCUGCUGAAAUGUCACCCUACUUUCAAGGCCAGAGUCAAAGGCGGACCUUCCCAGAGGCCUUCUUCCCCUCCCACUUGAAACGGAUGUCCUCUGUCGGUACCCCUGGACACUCUGCUGAACCCACUCUCACAGCCCUUGCUGCGUGUGGUCAGUGCUGCGAGGAGCCCUGGUCCUGUCUCCCACAGGGUGUCCUCCUCUACCCCUGCUGGGCCCCGCCCUACGGAGAGGACAACAGGCCAUCUGAGUGGUCAGGGGUGGGGGACCAAUGGGGCCAGCGUUGUGGGGGGCAGUGUUGGGCGUGGAAGGAGGUGACACUGGGUGCUGGAGCCCAGCUGGGGCCUCUGCCUGGGGCUGGUGGGCCUGCCGCAGUCACCCCAUUUCCAUGGCAACCGGAGUCCUCUGGCUGGGGCCACACCUCAACGUAGCCCUGCCUCGGGGAAGGGAUUGGCCUGCGGUCCACCUGCCCGUCAUGGCUGCUCAGAGAAGGGCGGCUCCCCACAGCUGGCCAGGUGUCUGCCAGGCUGCUAGACCCACAGCCAGGGGAGGCGGGGCAGGUCAGAGCCAGGCGUCCCAGGCAGGGGACGGCAUGUGUCUUCCUAGCCCCAAGCUCAGCACUUCAUCUCCCUCUGGCUCCCACCGCCUGGCUCCGUCCCCGCCUGCUGGCCCUCAGUGGGCUCUGUUGGAUGAACCUGGUGACCACAGGUCCCCAUUGCAGCUCCUUCAAAGCAAACCCCUCUCUGCCCCUGACACGACUCUGCUCUCCGGUCACCAGCCUCAGGACCCUGGACUUCAGUCUUUGAUUCCCACCGGCAGCCGCCCAGCACCUGGGCUCCCGGCGGAUAGUCCUCCUUCCUCCUUCUCCCAACCCCCUCUGGGCAUGUUCCCUGCACAACGGGGUCCACACCUCCGUCAGCUCACCCCUGAGGGACCUCCCAGGCUCCCAGCUCCUUCCAUUCAUGUGACGAGAUCUUCCUAAGCCAGACUUUGUCUCUGUGGGAGCCAUGGGGGCUUCCUUUGGCCCCAGGGACAAAGUCCAGGCCCCUCAGCAUGACCAACAGGCCAUUUCAUCCAGUCAGUAUACAGGUAACCAGCCCCUGCUCUGUGCCGGGCGCUGGGGACACAGCAGAGAAAAAUAAUAACAGCAAAAAUAUGAUUCGGGGUCUCCGGAAGCUCCUCUUCUGUGGGGAGGGUGGACCACAAACGCAUACAUCAAACGUAUUUGGUAUGUGACGUGAAAAAUGCAAAAGAGAAAAAUAAAAAGAAGGGCCCCGGGGCUGGGUGUGGCUAAUAUUGACAUUUUAAUGAAAACUUGAAGGAAGUGAAGGAGGGAGCCAUGUGGGUGCUAGAGGAGGAGCAUUCCAGGCACAGAGAAUAAUGACUGCAGGACCCUCCAGGACUCCAUUCAAACAUUCGAUCUAAGAUGCCCACCCUGCCCUGGCCAACUCAGGCCUCCUUAUGGGCCUCCUGGGCUUGGCAGGCUUGGCCCUGUCCAGAGAUGAGCUGUGUGAUCUGCCAAGACCUUUAUUUAAAGGACCAGAUCCCCCUGCUGACUAUGAGCCCUGGGAGAGCAGGGACAUUGUUGGACUUGUUUAUUCCUCACCCCUGAGCUCAGUAUGUGUCUAGCACAUAGUAGAAGCUCAGCAAAUCACCUGGAUGAAAAAGUAGGAGAAAGGGGAGGGAGAAAGGAUAAAAACACCCCUGUUCCUUUCAAUAGAGCAGAAACAGCCCUAAACGUUGUAGAUUCAUUUUAUUUGUGGGAUGAGAGGGAAGCGGGGUCUGUUCCAAGUUGACUCUUUUCUCUUCCCUUUCCCUGUUUCCUUCCCUUCCCUUCUCUGUUCAAAAACACACAUUGCAUAAUCAGAACCGGCGGUUAUGGCUCCAUCCCCAGCCUGUGCCUCCGAGACGCAGGGCCCUGAAGAGAGGAACCGUUUCAUAUUUAAUCAGUAUUAGUUCUGGAAUGCCCUUGGGUGAGCGGGCUCACUUCAGGGCUGUGGAGUUUAAUUCUCCGUGAUGCUAAUUAGAUCGGGAGAAGCUCUUGGCCUCUGAGCAGGAUGCAGGGGGGUCGCCCACUAACAAGCCACCCCCUGCCCCACCCGCUCAUCCUCAUCUCUCCAGCCCCCGUCCCAAGGGGGGAGCAGCGCUAGUCGCACCUCUUAGAAGAGGAGGGACGGCGGCUGAUGUGCAGAGAGAGGCCAGACCUCUCCCUCCAGCUCGGCUCAGAAGCUCCCGGGAGCUCCUUCUGCAAGGCAGGUGGGAGGAGCAGCAGGAGGAGGGGCGUUGGACCCGCAGGCAACCAGGGCUGCCCUUCUCUGCGUAUGGACAGGCUCUCUCCUUGCCCAGCUCUCCUCUCCUUCUUCAUUCAACCUCCGAUUCUCACCACCACCACCAUCUUCCCCCAGGUCCUGGAGAUCCUGGGCACAGAGCUGGGGAAUCUGCCUCAGGACCUUAUCAUCUCCAUUCCACAGCCAGGAAAGCUGAGGCUUGGAAGGCAAAACCACGGGUGUCACCAUGGUAAGGGGGAGCAGGGCUGGAAGAGAGGGCGGCAGAGCUGCAGUCCUGUGUCACAGCGGACAGUGGUGUGAGCCACCGGCACACGCUGGUCUCUGGGCAUCAGUUCCCUUCUCCGUCUCUUUGUGUUUGAAGUCCCCAUGGUACCAUCUGGUGAUGGCUGGACAUGGUGUCCAUUCUGCAGAGGCACAAACUGAGGCUCAGAGAUGGGGACAGCUUUGCCCAUGUGCGUACCCUUAGGGCUUGGUAGGCGCUGGAACCUGGCCCAGGGCGCCUGGCAUUGUCAUCCCCCGUUCUCCUGCUCAGCCCCGGCCUGGCCUGAUGGAGCAGCUUGCCCUCCCCGGGCUCCCUGGGGCAGACAGGUUUGCUCAGGGUUGAGGCGCAUCUUUCAGGUCAGACACAAGGUCAGACCUUCCAAACGAGCCCACACGUGUGCCACAGAGUGUGCCAGACAUGGCCUGGAUCACCCCAGGCCCCGGGGGCUGAACUUCUCUCCCUGCCUGUCCCCUUCCCUCUGCCUGAGGUGACAGUGCAGGGUGGCUUCAAGCCCUUGCACCUGAAGGCCCAGGAGGGAGUCCUAGCUCUGCCCGGCACCUGGUGGGCCCUUCCGGCUCACCUCUCCUGGCUGAGACUCAGUUUCCUCAUCUGUACGGGGACAGGGACCGUGCCCUUCCCUGACGUGUUGGGAGGCUGGGAUGGUGGCGGACAGGUGAGUUGCUCAGAACGGGGCUGCGCACACAGUGACCGCCCAGGACACGUGGCUCCUUCAGUAUUUUGGUUUGUCCCCAGGGUCCAGAUUAGAGGGUAAACCAGUCCCCAAUCCAAGGCCCCAGAGUGUCCCCAAGUCCCCACCUGGCUCUAUGAUGACUCUCUGUGUGACCUCAGACAUCUUCAGCCCUUUCCGACUCUCCGUCUUUCCAUGGAAAAGCUGGACUAGGGCAGGCCCAUGGACGUCAGCCUACGGGACGGGAGGGAUCGGGAGGCCAUCGUUUGGGGUGACACAUGACGGAACCUUAGUGCAGCCAGUCCCAGGUCCGAGCAGCCACCUGCUGUUGAGGGUCCAUUCCCCUGCAGGGGGCUGUGCCGGGGUCUGAUGGACUCUCCGACACUCCCUUUGAAGUUUGUCACCAGUGCAGGGUAUCGGGAGUGGGGAUUUUUGGAGAUGAGUGGCGUGGGUGGCCCAAAGUCCCCUGGGUGGUUUAAUGACUAAUAAAAGGCGCAGGGGGACGGGUGUGCUCCUCCUCUUAGUUCCUCCACCUUCCACCAUGGGCGGGGGGAAGGCUCUUGCCAGGUACCUUGAUCUUGGACCUCCCAAGACGUAGCUCGAAAUGGACUAAGGUGGGUGGGGACCUUCUAGAGAUGUCCACCUGCUCCCUGCAGCCUUGCCCCUGGGGAGGACGGGCGUUUCUUCUGUUCCAGAGUAAAGCAGGGGCCAGGCCAGCCUCCAGGACUCCCCGGGAGACCUAAUGGGUAUAGAGGCCACCGUGAGUGCAGGAGGCUGGUCACCGGACACCUGAGCUGUGCAUCGAGGGUCUCAGGAAAUAAACGUCCCUGUCUCUCUACAGAGGAAGGCGAACCUGGUCCCCUGGAAAGUGACCCCUUGAUGCCUGGCGUGGGAUGUGCUGAGAGGCGGGGCCUAAAAGCUCCUCCCCUGGUUCUCCAUCACAAUCCAUAGGCCCUCUCCUGGGCGUCCGAGGUCUGGCUAUCGACUCACUCUUCCUCAGUGGUGCUUCUGGGCCCCCCUGUGCCCGGCCUUGGGUGGACCACGUGGAAACUAGAAGGAUUUGUCGUGACCCCUGCCUGGCCAGUGAAGAGCACCGGGAGACAGCUGGACACUGGCCACGCCAGCAGGGGUGCUGAGGAGGGUCCGAAGGAGGAGCUGAUGCUGGAGGGGGCAGGGGACAGGGGACAGACAGCUCCUCUUCAGAUGCCCAGCCCCAGGCAGCGAGCCAG
rnacentral:lncRNA from 1 species